AGUGAACGCUGGCGGCGUGCUUAACACAUGCAAGUCGAACGAGAACGGAAUAUAGCUUGCUAUAUUUGUCAGCUAAGUGGCGCACGGGUGAGUAAUGUAUAGAUAACCUGCCCUUAAGAAAGGAAUAACAGUUGGAAACGACUGCUAAUACCCCAUACUCCUUCUUCCUAUAAGGGAAGUUGGGACAGUUUUUUCGCUAAGGGAUCGGGCUAUAUGGUAGCAGCUUGUUGGUGAGGUAAUGGCUCACCAAGGCUAUGACGCCUAUCUGGUCUGAGAGGAUGAUCAGACACACUGGAACUGAGACACGGUCCAGACUCCUACGGGAGGCAGCAGUGGGGAAUAUUACACAAUGGAGGAAACUCUGAUGUAGCAACGCCGCGUGGAGGAUGACACAUUUCGGUGCGUAAACUCCUUUUACGUGAGAAGAUAAUGACGGUAUCACAUGAAUAAGCACCGGCUAACUCCGUGCCAGCAGCCGCCGUAA
rnacentral:rRNA from 1 species